rnacentral:rRNA from 1 species
AGUGAACGCUGGCGGCAGGCCUAACACAUGCAAGUCGAGCGGCAGCGGGUCCCCGCGAGGGGAUGCCGGCGAGCGGCGGACGGGUGAGGAACACAUCGGAAUCUGCCUGGUUGUGGGGGAUAACGUAGGGAAACUUACGCUAAUACCGCAUGCGACCCUGAGUCGACGGACUGGGGGUGAAAGUGAGGGACCUUCGGCCUCACGCGACCAGAUGAGCCGAUGUCGGAUUAGCUAGGUUGGCGGGGGUAACGGCCCGCCAAGGCGACGAUCCGUAGCUGGUCUGAGAGGAUGAUCAGCCACAC